rnacentral:rRNA from 1 species
GGUUUUUUGAAUAUUUAUAAUUUAAGAUUAGUUCUGCUCAAUGAUUUAAGUUAAAUAGCCGCAGUAUUUUGACUGUGCUAAGGUAGCAUAAUCAAUUGUUUUUUAAUUGAGGACUGGAAUGAAGGAAUUGAUGAAAUUAAGACUGUCUAUUGUUAAAUCAUUAAAAUUUAAAUUUUAAGUAAUAAUUCUUAAAUAAAAUUAUGGGACGAGAAGACCCUAUAGAAUUUGAUAUAAUUUUUUAAAAAAUAUAAGUAAAAAUUUAAUAAAAUUAAUAUUUUAUUGGGAGGAUAAUUAAAUUAAAUUAACUUUAAGAUUAAAAUUGAAACAUUAAUUUAUGAAAAAUUUGAAUAAUUUUUUUUUAAUAAUAAUAAAUAAAAUUAAUAAAAAAUUAAUUACCUUAGGGAUAACAGCGUAAUAUUUUUAAAAAGAUCAUAUUGAUAAAAAUGAUUGCGACCUCGAUGUUGAAUUAAAAUAAAAGUUAAAUGAAGAAGUUUAAUAUUUUA